rnacentral:rRNA from 1 species
GCCCAGUGUCGGAAGGUCAAGAAAGUUGGUGACCUGAUGACAGGGAAGCUGGCGACCAAAGCCCUGGUUAACGGCUGCCGUAACUAUAACGGUCUUAAGGUAGCGAAAUUUCUUGUCGGGUAAGUUUCGACCCGUA